CCUACGGGAGGCAGCAGUGGGGAAUUUUGGACAAUGGGGGCAACCCUGAUCCAGCAAUGCCGCGUGUGUGAAGAAGGCCUUCGGGUUGUAAAGCACUUUUGUCCGGGAAGAAAUCGCGCUGGCUAAUAUCCAGCGUGGAUGACGGUACUGGAAGAAUAAGCACCGGCUAACUACGUGCCAGCAGCCGCGGUAAUACGUAGGGUGCAAGCGUUAAUCGGAAUUACUGGGCGUAAAGCGUGCGCAGGCGGUUGGGCAAGACCGAUGUGAAAUCCCCGGGCUUAACCUGGGAAUGGCAUUGGUGACUGCUUGGCUAGAGUGUGUCAGAGGGGGGUAGAAUUCCACGUGUAGCAGUGAAAUGCGUAGAGAUGUGGAGGAAUACCGAUGGCGAAGGCAGCCCCCUGGGAUAACACUGACGCUCAUGCACGAAAGCGUGGGGAGCA
rnacentral:rRNA from 1 species